rnacentral:rRNA from 1 species
UACGUAGGCAGCAAGCGUUGUUCGGAAUUACUGGGCGUAAAGGGUGCGUAGGCGGCUUUUUAAGUUUGGUGUGAAAUCUCCCGGCUCAACUGGGAGGGUGCGCCGAAUACUGAGAAGCUAGAGUGUGGGAGAGGAAAGUGGAAUUCCUGGUGUAGCGGUGAAAUGCGUAGAUAUCAGGAGGAACACCAGUGGCGAAGGCGGCUAUCUGGCCCCGUGAUUGACGCUGAGGCGCGAAAGCGUGGGGAGCAAACAGG